AGCUUUGCGCAGUGGCAGUAUCGUAGCCAAUGAGGUUUAUCCGAGGCGCGAUUAUUGCUAAUUAAAAGUUGAGAGGUGAGAAAGAGCAUGGUCCAGUAAAGGAAAUGGAAGAAGUUUAGAGUGCCUGAAAAUAUG
ensembl:snRNA U4 U4 spliceosomal RNA